GAAGGUGUGCUGUGAGGCAUGCUGGAGGUAUCAGAAGUGCGAAUGCUGACAUAAGUAACGAUAAAGCGGGUGAAAAGCCCGCUCGCCGGAAGACCAAGGGUUCCUGUCCAACGUUAAUCGGGGCAGGGUGAGUCGACCCCUAAGGCGAGGCCGAAAGGCGUAGUCGAUGGGAAACAGGUUAAUAUUCCUGUACUUGGUGUUACUGCGAAGGGGGGACGGAGAAGGCUAUGUUGGCCGGGCGACGGUUGUCCCGGUUUAAGCGUGUAGGCUGGUUUUCCAGGCAAAUCCGGAAAAUCAAGGCUGAGGCGUGAUGACGAGGCACUACGGUGCUGAAGCAACAAAUGCCCUGCUUCCAGGAAAAGCCUCUAAGCAUCAGGUAACAUCAAAUCGUACCCCAAACCGACACAGGUGGUCAGGUAGAGAAUACCAAGGCGCUUGAGAGAACUCGGGUGAAGGAACUAGGCAAAAUGGUGCCGUAACUUCGGGAGAAGGCACGCUGAUAUGUAGGUGAAGUCCCUCGCGGAUGGAGCUGAAAUCAGUCGAAGAUACCAGCUGGCUGCAACUGUUUAUUAAAAACACAGCACUGUGCAAACACGAAAGUGGACGUAUACGGUGUGACGCCUGCCCGGUGCCGGAAGGUUAAUUGAUGGGGUUAGCGCAAGCGAAGCUCUUGAUCGAAGCCCCGGUAAACGGCGGCCGUAACUAUAACGGUCCUAAGGUAGCGAAAUUCCUUGUCGGGUAAGUUCCGACCUGCACGAAUGGCGUAAUGAUGGCCAGGCUGUCUCCACCCGAGACUCAGUGAAAUUGAACUCGCUGUGAAGAUGCAGUGUACCCGCGGCAAGACGGAAAGACCCCGUGAACCUUUACUAUAGCUUGACACUGAACAUUGAGCCUUGAUGUGUAGGAUAGGUGGGAGGCUUUGAAGUGUGGACGCCAGUCUGCAUGGAGCCGACCUUGAAAUACCACCCUUUAAUGUUUGAUGUUCUAACGUUGACCCGUAAUCCGGGUUGCGGACAGUGUCUGGUGGGUAGUUUGACUGGGGCGGUCUCCUCCUAAAGAGUAACGGAGGAGCACGAAGGUUGGCUAAUCCUGGUCGGACAUCAGGAGGUUAGUGCAAUGGCAUAAGCCAGCUUGACUGCGAGCGUGACGGCGCGAGCAGGUGCGAAAGCAGGUCAUAGUGAUCCGGUGGUUCUGAAUGGAAGGGCCAUCGCUCAACGGAUAAAAGGUACUCCGGGGAUAACAGGCUGAUACCGCCCAAGAGUUCAUAUCGACGGCGGUGUUUGGCACCUCGAUGUCGGCUCAUCACAUCCUGGGGCUGAAGUAGGUCCCAAGGGUAUGGCUGUUCGCCAUUUAAAGUGGUACGCGAGCUGGGUUUAGAACGUCGUGAGACAGUUCGGUCCCUAUCUGCCGUGGGCGCUGGAGAACUGAGGGGGGCUGCUCCUAGUACGAGAGGACCGGAGUGGACGCAUCACUGGUGUUCGGGUUGUCAUGCCAAUGGCACUGCCCGGUAGCUAAAUGCGGAAGAGAUAAGUGCUGAAAGCAUCUAAGCACGAAACUUGCCCCGAGAUGAGUUCUCCCUGACUCCUUGA
rnacentral:rRNA from 1 species